rnacentral:lncRNA from 1 species
GUGGUUCGGUUGGGAUUGAAAGGAGUUGUUUGUAGCUGCUAGUUUAGCUUAGUUUAGUGUUACUUGCGAGUACCUAUUGCUUUUGGUACUCACCCUUGCUUCUACACAGUUGUGUAGGUUGACAACUCUAUCAGAUCCGACUUAUUACUCAUCUUCAGAUUAGAGCUUCCAGACUUACUUGAGAGGUAGCGGUUCAUUCCAGACGUGCCCUCAAGUUAUCUAUAUUUACUGUUCUGUUCUAUUCUAGAACUUUACUAUGAGACUUGUAUAUUUUAU